UACGUAGGGUGCAAGCGUUGUCCGGAAUUAUUGGGCGUAAAGAGCUCGUAGGCGGUCUGUCGCGUCUGCUGUGAAAACUCAGGGCUUAACCCUGAGCUUGCAGUGGGUACGGGCAGACUAGAGUGCGGUAGGGGAGACUGGAAUUCCUGGUGUAGCGGUGAAAUGCGCAGAUAUCAGGAGGAACACCUAUGGCGAAGGCAGCUCGCUGGGACGGUAUUGACGCUGAGACGCGAAAGCGUGGGGGGCGAACAGG
rnacentral:rRNA from 1 species